rnacentral:lncRNA from 1 species
CUCGAGCAUCAGCAAAAACGGAGCCACAACAGAUGAGUCCCAAAACAGAGCACUCUAUGACUCUCAUUCAUGCCUUAGUCAACUUCCUCAAUCUUAGGUCCGCCACCUGCACCGCCAGUCUCUGCCUUGCCAUGGCCGCCUCCCGGCAUCUCGGCACCACCACCCAUCGGUACGUCCCCACUAGCCCCGCCUUGAUACAUCUUUGCAAUAAUUGGGUUGCACAAGCCUUCCAACUCCUUCAACUUGUCCUCCAAUUCAUCAACCUCAGCCAAUUGGUUCCCAUCAAGCCACUCAAUAGCCUCAUCAAUGGCCUUCUCUAUCUUCUGCUUGUCAGCCGGGUCUAGUU